CCCUCCAACACUGCUCUCAUCACCUAUAUACUCUUCUCUCUGCCCGUCUCUGCUUCCCCCCCCUUCCCCCCCCCCUUUUCUCCCGGCCGACGGAGCUGAAGGGGCGGGGGUUCCUUCCUUGGAGUGUUUCUAGAGCUCGGAGGCUGCUGGUAGGGGGGCACCACUUUCAGAUAAAAACAUAGACCUGAAUGGCAUCAUCCAGUAUCCAAGGAAACCAUAUUUUUUACAGACAAUGGGAAGCACUGACACCUUUAAGAGGGAUGUGUAAUACACUCGCUAAUGUUUCCUGUUGUGUUUCUGAAAACCUGUGUCAGAAAAUAUACUGUCUCGAACUGGAAAGAUGUGAGAUUCUUAAUUUUAAAGAGCUCCAUUAAUAUUGUGUGUCUGUAACCAGCUAAUGAGCUGCAACAGAGCCUGGCCUUCAUUUUCAGCAAAUUAAGUUCAUCCCUCAUAGGAAUUGUGGUCUGGCUGUGGCACCGCUCCUAGGUAUGGGUGGGAUUUGUUUCUUCUAGCAGUUGUAGGUUAGCCACAUGGGUACGUGCUGUCGCACCACACAACAAAAUUUUCUCUAUAAUAACCAGUCUAAGUAGGCUUUUACCCCACAAAAGUAGAUCCCAUUUAAUUUACUUUGUGUUUAUAGCACUCCCUCUCAAACCGCACCAUUGGCACAGACUAAUAUUUAUACAACUUUUUAUUUUAAACUAUUUAUUUGGAGUUGAGACUUCAGUAGCACUCCCUGUCAGAUUCAUUGAACAAGCUUAAAUUCAGGAUACUGAAAAUGUAAAUUGGGAAGAGGGAUGUAUGUUCUUGGGAUUCUUUUCUCCCGUGCAUGGACACCCAAACAACUCUCACUGUAGUAAAGGGAGGUUACACAUGUGUUGAUAACAUUUGUAUUACUGCUGGUAGGAAAUUGAACAUUGAUGGGUGGUUUUAAAAGCCUGCUUUUGCCUAUUGUGUUUCCACAUUUCUUUGCCAAUAUAGUUGGUCAAAUUAGUUAUGCAAAAUGCAUCUAAAAACUUCUAAUCCAAAAGUGUCAAUGUUGUUAAAGAUUUCUUUUCAUACACAAAGAAAUAUUACAUUGCUCCAUUAUUUUAAUGGAAGUCGUUAGUCAAAUACGCUUUUGCCACAGAAAGAAAA
rnacentral:lncRNA from 1 species